AUACGUAGGUGACAAGCGUUAUCCGGAUUUACUGGGCGUAAAGGGCGUGUAGGCGGUCUCGCAAGUCAGAAGUGAAAUUCCUGAGCUCAACUCGGGCGCUGCUUCUGAAACUGCAGGACUUGAGUGCUGGAGGGGAUAGCGGAAUUCCUAGUGGAGCGGUAAAAUGCGCAGAUAUUAGGAAGAACACCGGUGGCGAAGGCGGCUAUCUGGACAGUAACUGACGCUGAGGCGCGAAAGCGUGGGGAGCAAACAGGAUUAGAUACCCUGGUAGUCCACGCCGUAAACGGUGAAUACUAGGUGUAGGGGGUAUCGACUCCCUCUGUGCCGCAGUUAACACAAUAAGUAUUCCGCCUGGGGAGUACGGCCGCAAGGUUGAAACUCAAAUGAAUUGACGGGG
rnacentral:rRNA from 1 species